AGCUCUGAUAGCGUAUAUUAAAGUUUUUGUAGUUAAAAAUCUUGUAAUUGGAUUUUUAGUGGGAGGGAUUGGUCCAGAGCUCUUUGUGGAAACUUGUAUCCUCUCCGGCCAUCCUUGGGUGGAUCUUGUCUGACAUUAAGUUGUCAGUCAGGGGAUGCACAUCCUUUACUGUGAAAAAAAUAGAGUGUUCAAAGCAGGCUUAUGCCAUUGAAUAUAUUAGUAUGGAAUAAUAAGAUAGGGCCCUGGUUCUAUUUUGUUGGUUUGCGUACCAAGGUAAUGAUUAAUAGGGAUAGUUGAAGAUAUUUGUAUUCAGUAUUCAGUGGUGAAAUACUCAGACCUACGAAAGACAAACUACUGCAAAAGCAUUUACCAAGGAUGCUUUCA
rnacentral:rRNA from 1 species